GGUGCAUUUUGCAGUUAGUCGUCGGUCAUGAGCCACAUUCGACAAUCGAUUAAUUCCGGGAUCAUCACUGAAGGGAAUUUGAGGAAAGCUACAUCUUCUAGUCCAGUAACCCAACAGUCAGUGAUCGGCUUCUUCCAGAAUCACCGGCACGCGUCAAGAGUGAAACUCGAAAGACAUUAACCGUCGUAGGAUGAUCAGCAAUCCUUGGACCACUUCAGGAACAUCGUUCAUCGUGGAAAAAACACCUUCGUCAACAACGAGGGACCAUUCCUAAUGGGUGCGAAUAGCUCCCAGCAGUAAGGGCUUCUCUACCAAUGACUGGAACCGUCUUCCAAGGGUUAGCAGUCCCUUCCAUUAUCAUCACUUAUAGGUAAGACCUAUCCCUUUGCGAACAGGAACACCUUCAAGUGGUUCGAAACUUUACCACUUCUUCCACAGAUAUGAUCAUCCUUUAACAAGUUGAAGGUGGUUUCUAUUUGCAAAAGUACAGUUUCUGGCCGUGGAAUGGUGGCAAUUACCAUUUAGAAGAUAUCCAAUUCUGCUGAAAAUGGUCCAGGGGGUAAUCGGUCUCUUCCAGGAUCAGCUGCAUACGUCAAAAGAGACUUUUACAGACAAUAGAGAAACAUCAACCAUCCUUGGAUGAUCAUCAAACCUUGGGCCACUUCAAGAAUAUCGUUCGUCAUGGGAGAUCACCUUCGUCAACAACCAGGAACCAUUUCUAACCUGUGCAAAUAGCUCCCAAUCGUAAAGCUCAUUUACCAAUGGCUGUAACCGUCUUUCAGGGGUUAGGAGUCCCAUCCAAUAUCAAAGACACUCGAAAGAUAUUUUCCAUCGAGGGAUGAUCACCAAUCCUUUGACCACUUCAGGAACAUCCUUCAUCGUGGAAGGUCACCUUCAUCAACAACGAGGGACCAUUUCUAACUAGUGCGAAUAGCUCCCAACAGUUAGGGCCGUUAAGCAAUAGUUGGAACCGUCUUCCAAAGGUUAGAAGUCCCUUCCAACAUCAAGAAUCAUCAAUCACGGAGGUAUAAGUCAAGCCCCUAAGUGAAGAUCCAAAAUGUUAUAAGGUAGUUCUAACUCCUUGGAGACAGUUUCUCACCAUGUAAUGGUGGUGGUUACCACUUGGGAAGUAUUCAAUUCUGCUAAACCGGUCCCGCAGGUAAUGGGGCCCUUCCAGGAUCGCCAGAAUACGUUAACAGAGACAUUCAAGGAAAAUUGACCAGCAUGGGAUGGACCACAUCAGGAACAUCGUUCAUCAUGGGAGAUCAUCUUCGUCAACAAAGAUGGACUACUUCUAACGGAUAUUCGAGAAGCAGUGAAAUCUCCGUGGGAGGAUCACCAAUCCUUGGACCACUUCAGGAACAUCGUUCAUCGUGGGAGAUUACCAUCGUCAACGAGGGACCAUUUCUAACGGGUGCGAAUAGCUCCCAACGGUAAGAGCCAUCUACCAACGGCUGGAACGGUCUUCGAAGGGUUAGAAGUCCCUUACAACAUCGAGGAUCAUCAUUCAUAGGUAAGACUUAUCCCUCUGCGAACAGGAACACCUUCAGGUGGUUCGAAGGUGAUCCUAUCCGUGGAAGUGUGGUACUUGUACCACAUCUUCCACAGAUAUGAUCAUCAUCAAACCAUUUGAAGGUGUCUCUAUUUGCAAAGGUAUAAGUCGAGCCUCUGAAUGACGAUCCAAGAUGUUAUAAGGUACUUCUAACUACUUGGAAGACAGUUUCUAGCCAUUGAAAGGUGGCAGUUACCACUUGGGAGGUAUUCAAUCCUGCUAAAAAUGGUCCCGAGCGCGGACAGGGGACAC
rnacentral:lncRNA from 1 species